rnacentral:rRNA from 1 species
UGGGGAAUAUUGCACAAUGGAGGGAACUCUGAUGCAGCGACGCCGCGUGAACGAAGAAGGCUUUCGAGUCGUAAAGUUCUUUUAUAUGGGAAGAUAAUGACGGUACCAUAAGAAAAAGCCCCGGCUAACUACAUGCCAGCAGCCGCGGUAAUACGUAGGGGGCUAGCGUUGUCCGGAAUCACUGGGCGUAAAGGGUUCGCAGGCGGAAAUGCAAGUCAGGUGUAAAAGGCAGUAGCUUAACUACUGUAAGCAUUUGAAACUGCAUAUCUUGAGAAGAGUAGAGGUAAGUGGAAUUUUUAGUGUAGCGGGGAAAUGCGUAGAUAUUAAAAAGAAUACCGGUGGCGAAGGCGACUUACUGGGCUCAUUCUGACGCUGAGGAACGAAAGCGUGGGUAGCAAACAGG